CAGAUAUUUGUACCCAGAUGAUUCACUUUUUAAGGAAAGAUGAAAUGUUCAUAUUUAAAAUAAAUAAAUACUUUUUAUUAAAAAAAAAAAAAAGAUAGGUGUAGCUAUAGCAGGCAAGGCGCACCCUGAUCAACAACCAGGAAAUAAUUAGAAACACAAGUAAAUCACUUCCAACCAAACAUUAAGGUGCAUUUGGGCUGUUUUGGAAUACAGAGACCCAAUGAAAUUAGUUAUCAGCAAAACUUUACUGUUAUGUUACAUUUGCUCUUUCUCAUACACAAACACAAACUUUUCAUCUACCUCCCCAAAAGGAAUCUUUUUUGACAAGAUUCCUGACUUUCACCCACUCUACUUAUGUCCCUGCAUCAUCUUUUACCUCCUUUCACCUUCUCCAUUGUUUGAAACGUAGGUGGACCUGGAAACUGAAGAUAUCUGGUAGAGUGUGUGCUCUUAUAUAUAAUAUGGCAGAGGUGGGCAACAACUAUGGCUGGCUUGGGAAUUCUGGGAGUUGAAGUCCACAGGUCUUAAAGACCCAGAGGGAACAUAAAGCAAAACAAAUGAAGGAGCCUGAAGAGAGGAAAAAAUGCACUUCAAAAUCAAGAAACUGAAAAUUCCACGUCAUUUCUGGGAAACUGUGAUUGUUAUUUUUUUAAAGUUUUCAAAAACUACAUCUAUCUAUAAAUUAUAAUUUAUAUGUAGUUACAUGUCCAUAAUCCUCAAUUUAAGUAAGAUCAAUACAAAGGUGAAGACAGAAUUAAACGUUUAUUGUAACAACGUAAUCUGUAAGUAAAAACAUAACUUUUUGCAUCAUGGCCAGAACAAUUUUAUAUAGCCAGAAGUCUUCAAAGAUUUGUAAUGUUUGAUGUCAACACGGUUAACUUUCUUCCCCAACUGUUUGCAAGUUAACUACGGUACCAAUUUGUUUUUUCCAUUUGACUAGACUGAACUGAAACUCAAUUUUAAUUUGCAAAGAAAAUUUUUUACCAGUGGGCUAUUUAAGAUGGAUACUGCUUCAAUCUCCAAUACAGACUUUGAAGAAUUCAGGUUUAUCCUAAAAGGCAUUUUGGUCCAUCCACUUGUAGAAAUAGAUGAAAGUCAUGAAAACUAAAGAAAGAUCGGGUUUAAAUAUUUGUGUAUUGUCACUAUUCUAUUAAAUGCAUUUUAAAUUUAAUCCAAUUUGUAAAAUUUAGUCUAAAUAAGCAUGUUAACAUCUAUCCUUAAAAUAUCCUAAAACCAAGUCCAUUGGCUUUUAUUAACAUUCAUGAGACAUAAUGGCUGGAAAUAAUAUCCAAUCAUAAAUUUGACAUAUAUCAUGCAUUCUUGUGACAAAUUAUUUAUGUGUUGUUUCUUGCAAAGAAAACAUAUUGCUUUAGCCUUAUUAUGUUUUUUUAAUAGUUUGCUUUGCUUUCUGUGAAAUUGAACAUAUUUCUCUUAAAUUCAUUCCCAGACUGUGGAUUCAGAAUUCCAACAAUAUACAGUAUUGCAUGAUUCAUAGGCUUUUUUAAAAAGUAGCUAAAGCUAUUUUACAAAAAAAUGUGAUUUCAAUUUCAGGAAUGCAAAGUUGAUAUGAAUGUAAAUUUGCAUUUAUAAUUGCCUAAAGGAAGACACAAAAUUGCCUCUUCUCACUGUUCACAUUCCUGUUGUGGUGUUUGUUGCUCCUUUUUCUCCUGCUGUACAUAUAAACCUAAAGGUUUAACACAAAAUGAUGUAUUUUUCUCUGCAUAUAGGCAAUGACUGUAGUCUUUCAUAAAAUACCUGCAUCUUUUGCAAAUUAGGGUGUAUGCAUAAUUUAAUAUGAAAUCCUGAAAUGAAACAGAAUGUGAAUUAUUCUUUGCCAAUGCAUUGCUCCAAUAUAACUGCUUCAAACUGAAGCAAAAUUAUACAUAUUAAAUUACAAAAAGAAAAAGUCCAAAAGAGAAAGUGUUCAGCUAAUUCAUCAUUUGUUUACAAAAGAGGUGUAGAAAGGUUUUUUUUAAUGUAAAAACUGGAAGCCUUUAUUCAAAAAUCCAAAUAAAAUAAAACAAAACCAGAAAACAAAUUAUGCAGAGGAGGGAGUUGGAAGGAAGGAAGAACAAAUACCGAAGAAUUCAAGGAAAAAUACAUAGGAACUCUUUUUUUAAAAAGGAUUUUGUUUGCAUUCAUACCAGGAAUGGGCAUUUGUUCUCCAAGUCUUAGCAUUUUUUAAAAAUGAUGCUUAAAUAAUAAAGACUAUAAAUUGCCAACCUUAUGCAUACAAUGGAUACAGGUUGAUACAUAAGUCAGGGAAAAAACACGUAUUUUCCCUAAACGUUAUAUGAAAAUGGAAGAGUGCAAAAAUUCAAAUUAAGAAAUAAAGGUGCAUUUUCCCACUCCCAAAAAUACAGAAUGAUUAGCAGGAAACAGAGAUGAGGCUUAUUACAACCGUAUGAGAAUAUAACAGAGUGUUCAGUCCCAGAGAUCCUUAAGGAAGGCAUAAGUACAUUUAUUCCUGCUGCCUAGAUAUAUAACUGUUAACUCAAGAUAAACAUCAUUGUUGUAUAUGAAUAUCGUAAGCACUAAGUUGCUUACGUUUCUGCAAUCAGAAAAGAAAGAAAAGAAAAAGCACCUAUUGAGAAUUAACCUAAACUCGGCUUCGUUGGCAUGAAAAACAGAACCACCUUUUUAAAAGCCUGGCUUAUUACUGAAAUCCCUCGUGUGAAGGUCUUCUCGUAGCCUAACAACAAUGUAAAGUGAUAUUCCAUGUUGAAAAACCACACCAUCCUUUCAACUGGGUAGUGUUGCAGUAAAUCUUCUUUACUGUGAAUCUUCCCUUUGCCAAAGAAGACGGGCUGGAAUGCAUAGAAAACUUACAUUCUAGUCUUCGAUUGCACAUUAUGACCGUAAGCAGAUGGGGGA